GACGCACGCUGGCGGCGUGCCUAAUACAUGCAAGUAGACCGCAGUUGCGAACGGGUGAGUAACGCGUAGGUAACUGCCUGGUAGCGGGGGAUAACUAUUGGAAACGAUAGCUAAUACCGCAUACUCCCAGAUGGACCUGCGUUGUAUUGGCUAGUUGGUGAGGUAACGGCUCACCAAGGCAACGAUACAUAGCCGACCUUAGAGGGUGCUCGGCCACCAUGGUAAUGAGACAGUGCCCAGAAGCCUACGGGAGGCAGCAGUAGGGAAGCGUCGGCAAUGGGGGGAACCCUGACCGAGCAACGCGGCGUGAGUGAAGAAGGUUUUCGGAUCGUAAAGCUCUGUUGUUAAGGAAGCGGUACUUAACCAGAAAGGGACGGCUAACUACGUGCCAGCAGCCGCGGUAAUAC
rnacentral:rRNA from 1 species